GCGCCCUUAGCUCAGUGGAUAGAGCAAUGGCCUUCUAAGCCAUAGGUCGCAGGUUCAAAUCCUGCAGGGCGUA
rnacentral:tRNA from 1 species